rnacentral:rRNA from 1 species
UACGGAGGGUGCAAGCGUUAUCCGGAUUUACUGGGUUUAAAGGGUGCGUAGGUGGGCAGUUAAGUCAGCGGUGAAAUCUCUGGGCUUAACCCAGAAACUGCCAUUGAUACUAUCUGUCUUGAAUAUCCUGGAGGUGAGCGGAAUAUGUCAUGUAGCGGUGAAAUGCUUAGAUAUGACAUAGAACACCAAUUGCGAAAGGCAGCUCACUACGGGGUUAUUGACACUGAGGCACGAAAGCGUGGGGGAUCAAAACAGG